UGCUAACAGCAGCUCCUCUGGCUGAUGGUCACCUUGCUGCCCUCCACCCCUUGCUCUGCAUUGCCAGCAGGAUUCCAGUUCAGCUUUCCCUUUCUUGGUAAAAUCUGAAUAAUCUGUUAGCCUGUUUCCUUCCCAAAGCAAUCAGCUACUUCAGGGUUACAGACAGCAUAGCUUUGCAGGUAGGGAAGGGUUACCAAGACCCGUUUUUUUCAAACAAAGAUGUAGCUGUGCCCAGAAAGAUGUGUGCAAAAGUGGUGGCAUCAGGGUCCUCACAUGUCUGUUAGGGCAGGAAAGAAUUUUUGUGUCUCUGAGGACACGUGCCUACACAAGAACAAGAGAUCCUGGGUGCUUGCAUGGCCAACAUCUGCAGCUCUGAGUUGCCUUUAGUCCUGUUUCCUCAUGUUGUUAAAACCUUCCCCCGCUCACUGAAUGAAUGAAGGAAGAAAGCUGCCAUGUAUAGCAAGCCCAAGCAAGCACAGCCACUGCUUACGUAAAAAUCCGUGCUGUAUUUCCAUGCUGAUCCACUGAGCUGGAUGCUUGAAACCCCUUCUCUGCUACCUGUGCUGGGUUGCACUCUGAGACUAAGACUUCCUAGCCCAGAGAAAUGGCACAAAACGAGCUUUGCUGCUCACUCUGCAACAAGCAAGAGCUGUUUGAGAUGCUGGAGGAGAAUUUCAUCAAGAUAUUGGUAAAGGAGCUCUAGUCCCUUCUUGCUUUCAAAGAGCACUUGCUGCUGGAUUUGCUGUCUCUAGUCAAAGCACAAGGUUUAAACCUCAGAGCUUUGGGGAAAAGGCCACCGAUCUCGUAUAAAAUGGAGUGCAAGCACGUCCAGGGCCCAAAUACAGAUUCCCCGUGAAGUGUGGAGUUGUCAGAAAUGGAACUGCAGGAGACAGGAAAAUUAAUGAAGAUGAAGGUAUUUGUGUUGUGUUGGAUGAAUCAUGAACUUUUCUUUACCUUGUACUAAUGAUGCAAAAGCAGUUAUUUCUUCCAACUAGUGAGUCAAAUGAAGCUUUUUGUGGCUGCUGUCAGUGAAAGCUGAUGAGCGUCAACAGGAUGGCAGCUCUGGGCUGUGCCUGAGAAAAGUGGGAGCCUGUCCUGGAGUUGGGAUGUUUAGCAAAUUUGUCAGAUCUUAAAGGCAACUCUGGAAGUGCUUUGUCCUCCAGCUAGGAGUGUCAUGGUCCUUUCUUCCCAUGAAUGUGCAGCUUUUGAGGCGAGGAAGAUGAUUUUGAGGUAAGGAAAGCUGUUGCUGUGCUUGCACAGGGCGAUCUGGUGGGGAUCUUGAGCUGAGAGAACAGCCACCAUCUCUCCUAGAUGGGAACAGUCGCUGAUCCCCUUGUGAGCAGCGUCCUUCCCAUCGGUGCUGCUCCUCUGCCUGUUCUGCCAUUACAGUUUUUGGACAUGGAGUUGAGUUUGCUUGGCCACAAUAGGUAUAGGUGUGUUUGCUUUCCACUUCCAGGCACUUCUCCUUUGGGUGCCAGCACGUCGGCUUCCCCGCUUGCCUCAUCUCAACCCCGCAAUUUGCAGGGGAUGCAUUUUAAAGGCUUAUGGAGGGUGUGCAGCAGGGAAGGCGGCGCGGCCAUGGGUUAGGACAUCCUGGCAAAAACCAGCCAUGGGGACCAGCAACCGCUUGUGUAUCUCAGGGAAAAAAGGUUUGUCCAGGGCGGAUGAACGGUUUCUUCAACCGAGCUGCUCUUCGCCCUUAAGGUUUCUGAUAAAACAAAUCUGUUGUCCCAUGCAAAUAUAUUUACUUGCUUUAACAGAAGAGGAAGUGUCCUCCUGCCAAGUCACAGGUUCCGAAGCACUUUGGCAUCUCCAGAAAACAAACAACCCUGACUUUGCUUUUUAUUUUCCAGGCCAAAGCACAGUUUGCAGCAUGGCAUGCAAACCAAUGCUGCUGGUUGGGUCUGGGCCGUGUUUGGGCUGAACAGGUUUGAUUUUGGAGCUGUGGAUAGUUCUGCAGAAGAGGUAGAGGGAGCCCUGAGAAGAGAAAACUAGAAAAAUGUGAGUCGGAGGGGAGUUCUUGGAAUCAACAUCCCGCUCAGCAGCUCCAGAACCACUAGGAAACGCUGCAGAUCCCAGGAAUGCCAACAUCCUUUAACGUCUCCUGGGGUGCCCCACUUAUCUUCCUUUCUUAUUUUUCCCCCUUGCAAUUUGUCUUUGUGCAGACUGUUGUUAUCCUUUCUCAGCUCUGAACAGAAUUAGUGUUUGGGUGUCUCUGUUUCAGAGAGGAAUUGCUUCCUUGUCUGAGUUAAAGAUUAACUGUUGAUUGCUGCAGUGUUUUAUUCUACGUAUUCUCUACUAAAAUUCUUUGAGAUUUGCCUAACCCCCCACUGCUUCUCACACCCUGUGUUGGGGAUGAUGUGUAUCCCCCCCAGAUGUGAACUCCCUGCUUGCAAACUCAGUUCUCCCCCCUUCACUGCUGCUCCACUGAUGGGAAGCACGAGCUGGGGCUGCAGAAAUGUUCUCUUCCCUUUGCAGCGCAGGCUGAAGCACUGCGGUGAUGCAGCUGGCGCAGCAUCCCCUUGGGGCAGGUCCCCCUCCAUUUAUUUCCCCUUGUACGAGGCAGCUCUGCCGUAUAGACGUGCGUGUCUGUGCACAGCUGGCUGACCACAUCUGCCAGCACAAAACAGCUUCGUGUGUCCCCAGCAAACAGCAAGGAAGACAUUCAGGUCACUUCAGCUCUGUGUAGCUUGACAUAAGGUGAUGGCUCCACCAGAGCCGUCGGAGUUUCCUCAUUGCAGCUGGACAGAAAAUCUCUCUGUUAGGGGCUGGCCAGGUAAAAAAUGUUGAGUUUUAUUUAAUACCAUAAUGCCCACCAAUCUGGAGGACUUGAAGCAAGCUGACAAGAAUACCCUGAAAGAGCUGGAAGUCCUUAUUUACAUCCAGAAAUCAGGAAAAAUACUAUCCCUAUGCUCAUUCAAUCUUUUCUGAUGUAGCCCACUACAGCUGAACCAGGGCACUCCCUCUUUUCCUCAUUUUUGGGCUAGGGACAUGGGGCAAUGUCCCGGCACCCUGAAAACAGGGAAGCAGCUAUCAGUUUUGCCAACUGGAAGCCAAACCUUCAUCCUGUGCUGAUGUGAUCCUGACGUUCCAGUCAGCAGCUGAACGAGACAUUUUUCCUAAGCGGACGUAUUCUGGGCUGGCAGUAACCUGCUAAAUUCUCCCCAGCAUCAGCUCAUGAACGAUGGAAAUGCCAUGAACUUGCCUCAUUAGGAGGUGGGUGCCACACUCACACAAGCACCCAGCUGCACCCACUUGCAAUUAUCUCACAACUCUACUUAUUCACCCCUUUCCCCACCCCACAGCAACAAGCAGCAUGUUAGCAAAGAGCCUUGUGGAGCACAAACUCAACCCACUACAACCACCACAAAUGGCUUUCAAGCUGCUAAUAAGGCGAUAUCUCACUUUUUCCAGGAGAAAAGCUACCGCAGUUCUCUUGGGUGACUUCAGCUGAGCCCCCUCAUCCAACCCAAAGCAUUAAACCUGCCUUUCCUGGGUCAUUCGCAGCAUCGGCUGCAGCUGAACCAUGUGUGGUUUGCAGGUACGUGAUGGCUGAUGUGCAGGGAAACAAGCAGCUGCAAGGGAGUUAUGCAUUAAAAGCACGUUCAACAAAUAGGCAUUAAGAAAAAGAAAGGCAGAAAGUGGAAAGAGCUAGAAUUAUAGAAUCCCAGAAACAGAGUAGUAAACUCUAUGUAGUUGGUGUUUUGGUUUUUCCCCAUUUUCAUUUCAGUUUUGUAUUGUGAAGAUGUUUCUAUGGUUGGUUUUCUGUACUUGUCUGAUUAAAUCAGUGUCCUGGUACCAUGCAAAAAGUGAGUUAGUUGCUGCUAUGGAAUGGGGCAGAGUCCCUCUGUGUGGCUCUGCAUAAGGAUUUAUCCUGUCCACAUAAUUUUUGUGUGUGCUCUUUGCAAAAAGAAGUCAGCAGGCUUAUCUACAGCUUUAAAAAGGGGAAAAAAGCACUUUUUUUUUGUUUUAAAAAAAAGGAUUUCAGCAUGAGUUAUAAUGCAUUUAUUGCUAUGGCAAUAAUGAUUUCAAAUUCCAGACCUGUGAGAUGUUGCGGGUGAAAUCCACUACAGUAGCUCAUAUAAUUGCUGUGGAAUAGUAUUUUACUCCAAAUAGAAGUAUUUUAACGGUAAAUUGAGGCUCACUUACCUUAGAC